ACAGAACUUUGGAACCAGACCUAUCUCAUCUUACUUACUCAUGCCCCUGCCCCAACAGCCUUCCUGUGAAGUAUUCACCUCAAGAGUAAAGGCAGUUGAAUGCUGGAAGAUGAGAUGCAUGCAAGACUAGCAUUCUCACCAACUAGGAAGAGGCGUGGAUCACUUCAGCUCCGAAACUCUGAAUCCUUUCUGGUGACCAUCAAAUAGGAUGAGAAAGCCAAAGCAUGUGAAUAUGGAAAGUUUAUAUAAAUUCAUGGUCUUCGUUCUCAUUUGGAACCUCAAGACAACCCAGACAUUUUUCUCCAUCACCCGAGCCAGCAUCAACUUGAUACCCAGACUCACUCAUUUGGUUCAGAACUCAGGUACAGAAGAGGAGUCUUACUGAUUGAUCUCUAAACA
rnacentral:lncRNA from 1 species